AAAUGGUGAACCCCACCAGGUUUAAUAAUGUGACCCUCACUAAAUGCGUAGCAGUUAAUGAUAAAAGUACAACUAUCUUUCAUAACAGAAAGUGGGGGAGUGAGGGGAGUAGGGACGGGCAGAGAAAGUUCCCUGACUUCCUAUUAUCGCAUAUACAGAUAAUCUGGUUACAAAGAGUAGCCUAGCCUUGAAAGAAGAGAAAAUCACAACGGACACCAUGUUGCUGAGAGGGUUUGCGGAGGAAGGGUGGUUUCCAGACAUCCUUAGUGAAUGCAGGUCACAUGCAAAGAGGUAUCUCAGGCCCUUUUUUCUUCCUUUUUGACAACAAAUUUGCAGUUAAUCAGGCUCUGGACUUGCUCAGAGAAGCCCAGAAUUGGGCCUAAAGAAUAAAAUAACAUGAAAUAUCUGUGAAACCAUGAAAAUACAUUUUUUAAAAAAAGUUUCCAGGUAUAAUACACAAAAGCAAACAAGUUUAUCUUAAAAAAUAUCAAGUAUCACAUCCAUAGCCUAUUCCUAAUUAUAAUUACUUCUUAAAGCAACAUUUGUCUUUGUUUACAAAUACAGCAGCAGGUGAUAAAACCUAGUAUCUCAAACUGAUUGCUUACAAUUUAUAAUACAAACAAAUGUAUAUGUCUCAAAUCACAUUUUAGGCAGUUUAACUUAAAAUGCAUAGACAAUUACAUACAUUAAAGUUGUCAUUACUGUCAGUGAAAAAUCACAAUUUCAAGAAAAUUACAAAAAACUUUCAUAGAGCACACAGGAGUUUACUUAAUGGCAACAAGUCAGUAUCUGCUAAUCAGUGACAGGCAGUUCAAGUGCCUUUAUCCAGGGGUAAAGUGAAGAGGCAAACUAUCCUGUUACUUUGCACACUUGAAUUGUUGCGCUGAUCAACACUACAAUCUUGAAAAACAUUAAAUUCUUAAAAAAAAAAAAAGGUAUGCCACAUGUCGCCCUUUAAAAUGCCCAAAGGCUGGUUACAGUUUCCACCAGUAGCAAUCAACGUUUAUCUAGGUAAAAUUAACAAUGAAUGGGUGUGCUAACGAAUUCUGUAAUGUUACUUAUAGACUAUAAGCCUCUCAAGGACAGGGAUUCCCUUAUAGCUGGCAAAAAACCUGGAUCAAGGAUAACAUUGUCUACUGAAUAAAUGACUCAGAUGUUUUCGAUAGCCAGAAGCUUGCCUGGCAUUUACAAAAUAUUAUUUUACUGGCAGUUUUUGUUUUACUUGGCAGAAUUCUGAAAAUAAAGUGUUUGUCUUCAAUACUAAAUACUGCUUUAUUAAAAUCAAAGUCUUCCCUGAACGCCACCUACAACUUUCUACGCACAGUACAAUAUAUCAGUGUGAUUUAUCUGAAUUUAGGCUUAUGCUUUUCAAAAACUUGAAGGUCUGUGCUUAAGUUUUAUUUCCAGGCUUUCUAACCCUGGCAUUUGAUAAAGGGUUCUAUCAUUCAGGGUGAGAAAAUUGAGACAUUGGCACUUACUGUUUAGAGGUGUAGGCAAUUGACUGAUACUCAAACUAGGCAGUCUUAACAAAAACUCGAGUAGAGCUUUUGUCAUCUACACAAAGUUUCAAAAGCUGUGCAUUUGAGUACCAUAGGUGGCACUAAUUAUUUGUGAGGUAAUAGAUCAUGGGCAAAUUGAUUGGUUUUUUAGAAAAUAUCCCAAUAGUCCAUUGUGGUGGUGGGACUAAGGCAAAAUACAUACUUUUCUUCUCUGCCCUAUUACUAUUCUCUACUGAAGAUAACCAACAGUAAAAUGGACAAAGCAGUCAGUCCUUGGGUAAUUAAAAAAUGUACUGUCUAUUUCUGAAUAAUCAAUAUAUUACUUUACACAAAAUAGGGCUGAGUCAGAGCUAUAAAUGGUGUCUUCAAAAGCAUGAAAAGAUGAGAAGGCGGCAGGAUGGGACAGACAAGCCAAGGUAUUUGAAGUGCUCCACUUGCUUCUUGAGAACUGGGUGUGAAUGAGGACCUAAAGUCUAUGUUUUAAUUUUUGUCUUUUUGGUUUCAACAUUUCAAAACUUAAGAUUCCAACUCCAGAAACAGUAUUCCUGAACAUAUCUCAACUACUUCCAUUAGAUUUAUUUGAAAAUUCUUCCUCCGAAGCUCAAAUGUCAGCAUAUUCUAU
rnacentral:lncRNA from 1 species